rnacentral:rRNA from 1 species
UACGGAGGAUCCAAGCGUUAUCCGGAAUCAUUGGGUUUAAAGGGUCCGUAGGCGGCCCUGUAAGUCAGUGGUGAAAUCUCACGGCUCAACCGUGAAAUUGCCAUUGAUACUGCAGGGCUUGAAUUACCAGGAAGUAACUAGAAUAUGUAGUGUAGCGGUGAAAUGCUUAGAUAUUACAUGGAAUACCGAUUGCGAAGGCAGGUUACUACUGGUGGAUUGACGCUGAUGGACGAAAGCGUGGGUAGCGAACAGG